UCCAGACUCCUACGGGAGGCAGCAGUGGGGGAUAUUGCACAAUGGGGGGAACCCUGAUGCAGCGACGCCGCGUGGGUGAAGGAGCGUUUCGGCGCGUAAAGCCCUAUCGGCAGGGAAGAAGGAGGACGGUACCUGACUAAGAAGCCCCGGCUAACUACGUGCCAGCAGCCGCGGUAAUACGUAGGGGGCAAGCGUUAUCCGGAUUUACUGGGUGUAAAGGGGGCGCAGACGGCAGCGCAAGCCAGGAGUGAAAGCCCGGGGCCCAACCCCGGGACUGCUCUUGGAACUGCGCGGCUGGAGUGCAGGAGGGGCAGGCGGAAUUCCUGGUGUAGCGGUGAAAUGCGUAGAUAUUAGGAGGAACACCGGCGGCGAAGGCGGCCUGCUGGACCGUAACUGACGUUGAGGCUCGAAAGCGUGGGGAGCAAACAGGAUUAGAUACCCUGGUAA
rnacentral:rRNA from 1 species